rnacentral:rRNA from 1 species
CCUACGGGGGGCAGCAGUGGGGAAUAUUGCACAAUGGGGGAAACCCUGAUGCAGCGACGCCGCGUGAGUGAAGAAGUAUUUCGGUACGUAAAGCUCUAUCAGCAGGGAAGAAAAUGACGGUACCUGACUAAGAAGCCCCGGCUAACUACGUGCCAGCAGCCGCGGUAAUACGUAGGGGGCAAGCGUUAUCCGGAUUUACUGGGUGUAAAGGGAGCGUAGACGGCAGCGCAAGUCUGGAGUGAAAUCCCAUGGCUUAACCAUGGAACUGCUUUGGAAACUGUGCAGCUAGAGUGCAGGAGAGGUAAGCGGAAUUCCUAGUGUAGCGGUGAAAUGCGUAGAUAUUAGGAGGAACACCAGUGGCGAAGGCGGCUUACUGGACGGUAACUGACGUUGAGGCUCGAAAGCGUGGGGAGCAAACAGGAUUAGAUACCCCAGUAGUC